ACAAGUUCAUAUCGUCGCGGUGACCCGUUGGCCCGGAUGCCAGGGCGUAAAGGUGGAAGCUGGUGCAAGUCCAGCGCUGUGCCGCAACUGUAACCGGUUAGAAAGCCGGAAGCCAGGACGCCUGCCGCGAUGUGAUGAUGUUC
rnacentral:ncRNA from 2 species